rnacentral:rRNA from 1 species
CCUACGGGUGGCUGCAGUGGGGAAUAUUGGGCAAUGGGCGCAAGCCUGACCCAGCAACGCCGCGUGAAGGAAGAAGGCUUUCGGGUGGUAAACUUCUUAUCACAGGGACGAAGCAAGUGAGGGUACCUGAGGAAUAAGCCACGGCUAACUACGUGCCAGCAGCCGGGGUAAUACGUAGGUGGCAAGCGUUAUACGGAUUUACUGGGUGUAAAGGGCGUGUAGGCGGGACUGCAAGUCAGAUGUGAAAACCAUGGGCUCAACCUAUGGGCUGCAUUUGAAACUGUAGUUCUUGAGUACGGGAGAGGCAGACGGAAUUGCUAGUGGAGCGGUGGAAUGCGUAGAUAUUAGGAGGAACACCAGUGGCGAAGGCGGUCUGCUGGACAGCAACUGACGCUGAGGCUCGAAAGCGUGGGGAGCAAACAGGAUUAGAUACCCGAGUAGUC